GACUGAUUGGAGGGCAUUGACUUAAUUUGGUCAUAAACAGAAUGGUCCUUAACCCUGAGGAGUGCGGGUACUGUGGCAGAGUAUUGCAGAAAUGGGAAAGAACAGGGAGCAAGGCCUGAAGAAGGGCGUCAUGUGUUCUUUCCUCCCCAGGAGGUGAACACAGAAAAGCUGACAGCCUUUGUAAACACGUUGAAUGGCAAAGAUGGAACCGGUUCUCAUCUGGUGACAGUGCCUCCUGGGCCCAGUUUGGCUGAUGCUCUCAUCAGUUCUCCGAUUUUGGCUGGUGAAGGUGGUGCCAUGCUGGGUCUUGGUGCCAGUGACUUUGAAUUUGGAGUAGAUCCCAGUGCUGAUCCUGAGCUGGCCUUGGCCCUUCGUGUAUCUAUGGAAGAGCAGCGGCAGCGGCAGGAGGAGGAGGCCCGGCGGGCAGCUGCAGCUUCUGCUGCUGAGGCCGGGAUUGCUAC
rnacentral:sRNA from 1 species